rnacentral:rRNA from 1 species
UACGUAGGGGGCAAGCGUUGUCCGGAUUUAUUGGGCGUAAAGGGCGCGUAGGCGGUUUCUUAAGUUUGGAGUGACAGUGGGUGGCUUAACUACCCAAGGCCUCUGAAAACUGGGGAACUUGAGGACCAGAGAGGGACAUAGAAUUCCGGGUGGAGUGGUGAAAUGCGUAGAUAUCCGGAGGAAUACCAAAGGCGAAGGCAGUGUCCUGGAGGGUGACUGACGCUGAGGCGCGAAAGCUAGGGAGCGAACGUGG